UGCAGUCGAACGGUAACAUUUCUAGCUUGCUAGAAGAUGACGAGUGGCGGACGGGUGAGUAAUGCUUGGGAACUUGCCUUUGGGAGGGGGAUAACAGUUGGAAACGACUGCUAAUACCGCAUAAUGUCUACGGACCAAAGGGGGCUUAGGCUCCUACCUGAAGAGAGGCCCAAGUGAGAUUAGCUAGUUGGUAAGGUAACGGCUUACCAAGGCAACGAUCUCUAGCUGUUCUGAGAGGAAGAUCAGCCACACUGGGACUGAGACACGGCCCAGACUCCUACGGGAGGCAGCAGUGGGGAAUAUUGCACAAUGGGGGAAACCCUGAUGCAGCCAUGCCGCGUGUGUGAAGAAGGCCUUCGGGUUGUAAAGCACUUUCAGUUGUGAGGAAAGGUUGGUAGUUAAUACCUGCCAGCUGUGACGUUAACAACAGAAGAAGCACCGGCUAACUCCGUGCCAGCAGCCGCGGUAAUACGGAGGGUGCGAGCGUUAAUCGGAAUUACUGGGCGUAAAGCGCACGCAGGCGGUUUGUUAAGCUAGAUGUGAAAGCCUCGGGCUCAACCUGGGAUGGUCAUUUAUAACUGGCAGACUAGAGUCUUGGAAAGGGGAGUGGAAUUCCAG
rnacentral:rRNA from 1 species